UUGAUUUUCUCAUGACGGACUUGGAGAAGAGGACCAUGUUUACUUCCACACCGGUGAAGGCAAGCGCGGCCAAUCCUUCACUCACUGCCCCGUCAACCAAACAAGAUAUACCCAGCAGUAUUCCCGAUUUCCAUCCUCCAGUUUUCCUCUUCAGCGCGGGUUUUCCAUGCCUAUCUGUUGAUCCAUCUCUGGUGUAAGAAUCCAAGAGUCUCAGUUUCCCAUCCUGCAUACAUGGAGAGCUUAAACACAUCAAGGAACAGCUUAAUUCAAAGCAUAAAAAAAAAACAGCCUCUGAGCAGUGUCUUUGGUUUUCACAUGAUGUUAGAAGCAUUCUAUGGCUAGAUUAAUGUUGUUUACUCCUCAUUUCCAACAACAUUAACACCAAAGUUCGGCUUCUUGGGUGACGAGGAAAACCUGUUACUACCCGAGAGUGUGCAUUGCGUAAACUGUUGUGCUAACAAAUUCAUCUUGCUAAAUAAUACCCUACCGAAUUCUAUCA